CCUACGGGGGGCAGCAGUGAGGAAUAUUGGUCAAUGGGCGGAAGCCUGAACCAGCCAAGUCGCGUGAGGGAUUAAGGCCCUGCGGGUCGUAAACCUCUUUUGCCGGGGAGCAGAGGUCCGGACGUGUCCGGGCCGGGAGAGUACCCGGAGAAAAAGCAUCGGCUAACACCGUGCCAGCAGCCGCGGUAAUACGGGGGAUGCGAGCGUUAUCCGGAUUUAUUGGGGUGAAAGGGUGCGUAGGCGGGCAUUUAAGCCGGCGGGCAAAUGUCGGGGUUCAACCCCGGCCUGCCGUCGGAACUGGGUGCCUUGAGUGGGCGAGAAGUAAGCGGAAUGCGGGGUGUAGCGGUGAAAUGCAUAGAUAUCACGAAGAACCCCGAUUGCGAAGGCAGCAUACCGGCGUCCUACUGACGCUGAGGCACGAAAGUGCGGGUAUCGAACAGGAUUAGAUACCCGGGUAGUC
rnacentral:rRNA from 1 species